rnacentral:rRNA from 1 species
CGCACCCCCGUGAGAAUGCCCUUUAACCCCGACAGGAAAAUAGGAGCAGGCAUCAGGCACACAACCGUAGCCCAAUACGCCUUGCUUAGCCACACCCCCAAGGGAACUCAGCAGUGAUAGACAUUAAGCAAUAAGCGAAAGCUUGACUUAGUUAUGGCUAAGAGGGCCGGUAAAACUCGUGCCAGCCACCGCGGUUAUACGAGGGGCCCAAAUUGACGCACCACGGCGUAAAGUGUGAUUAAAGACACCCUAUAACUAAAGUCGAACCCCUCCUAUGCUGUCAUACGCCAAGGAGGACACGAAGAUCAACAACGAAAGUGGCUUUAAGAAUCUUGAACUCACGACAACUAGGGCACAAACUGGGAUUAGAUACCCCACUAUGCCUAGUCUUAAACUAAGAUGAUAUCACAUACAAGUUUCAUCCGCCAGGGAACUACGAGCAACAGCUUAAAACCCAAAGGACUUGGCGGUGCCUCAAACCCACCUAGAGGAGCCUGUCCUAUAACCGAUAAUCCCCGUUAAACCUCACCCCUCCUUGUUACUUCCGCCUAUAUACCGCCGUCGCCAGUUUACCUUGUGAAAGAACAACAGUAAGCAAAACGAGCAACACUCAACACGUCAGGUCGAGGUGUAGCGAAUGGAGGGGGAAGAGAUGGGCUACAUUUUCUGAUAACAGAACAUUACGAAGUGUGCAGUGAAAGGUGCACAGACGAAGGUGGAUUUAGCAGUA